GAUGAACGCUGGCGGUAUGCUUAACACAUGCAAGUCGAACGGACUCUUCGGAGUUAGUGGCGGACGGGUGAGUAACGCGUGAGAAUCUGGCUUUGGGUUCGGGACAACCACUGGAAACGGUGGCUAAUACCGGAUGUGCCGAGAGGUAAAAGAGAAAUUGCCUGGAGAUGAGCUCGCGUCUGAUUAGCUAGUUGGUGAGGUAAAGGCUCACCAAGGCAGCGAUCAGUAGCUGAUCUGAGAGGAUGACCAGCCACACUGGGACUGAGACACGGCCCAGACUACUACGGGAGGCAGCAGUGGAGAAUUGUCCGCAAUGGGCGAAAGACUGACGGAGCAAUACCGCGUGAGGGAAGAAGGCUCUUGGGGUGUAAAACUCUUUUCUUAGGGAAGAACAAAAUGACGGUACCUAAGGAAUCAGCAUCGGCUAACUCCGUG
rnacentral:rRNA from 1 species